rnacentral:pre_miRNA from 1 species
GUCAGAUGUCUACUGGAGUUCCCUUGACCACUUCAUUGGGGACUCGUCAUCUUUCGGUCCUACUGAAGUGUUUGGGGGAACUCUAGCAGCCCAUUUGAC